UAAACAGUAAUUAAAAUUUUAAAUAAGGUUUUAUUUUUAUCAAUACUUGUAUACAUCUAAUUUCAUUUUACCAAUUUUCACAUGUUUAAUAUAUGUUUAGAAUAAGUCAUUAAGUUGUCUUAGCACCAGCAUUGAACUGAAUUAUAAUUAAUUAAUUUUGAAUUAUCACAUGUUUGGUUCAAUACACAAAUUUGUUUAUUCUAUUUGAAUUCAAAUCUAUGAAUUCCAUUAUAAGUUCUAGCCCACCAUUGGCCGAAUGGAGAAAACCGCCGAGCACUGGUAGUCCUGGGUACGCACCUCGCCAACAGACUGGUCAUGUGAAGUUUUUUGGGUUUUAUUCACGUUAGUAACACUUAAAUAGGGGUUAAAUUUCUCAUAGAAGUAUCCUUCUAGAGGCAACCUGUGUGUUGUGUCGCCUUAACAAAAUAAAUCGAUAUAAGUUUUAUAUGACAUAUCCUGAAGAUAGUUGCUUAGAUUACCAAAAACGUUAUAGUUAAACAAUAAUUUUUGCUGGUAAAGGUUAAAAGGUAGUUAAAAUAUCAACAAUUCUUUCAUUUCAAUCAUAAAUUUAUUAAACUAUGAAAAUUUUAGUAACAAUUUUUAAAUUAUUUGUAUAUAAAAAAUGAAAAUCUGAAAUUUCAAGAAGUGUUUGUUUCCUACCAACAUAGUCAUUAAACUUGGAUAUGAAUAAAUAUAAUCUGAUAAAAACUGAGGUAGUUUCUAUUAAAUUUUAUUUAUUAACACAAUAUUGUUUAAAAACGAUUAUUUAGGUUCUACCGACGGACGAAUUCACGUGUGGAAUACGGAAACAGGAAUUAAAACAGCUUUGUUAAAUUGCGAUCAUACUGGUCCCGUGCAAUGCAUUCAGUUUAAUCCAAAGUAUAUGAUGUUGGCAUCCGCAUGUACAAAUAUGGCUUUUUGGCUUCCGACAAUUGAAGAAGUCUUCUAAAUUUUACAUCACAGGAAAUUUCACCACAAGCAAAAUGAAUUUUAUACAAAAGUGGAUGAACUGGUUCAGGAAAGACUUUUAUUUUUACAAAAAUUCAUUGAUAUGUACAUAAUUGUCAUUUGUGAAGUAUCAUUUCUUUAAUAAUUAUAUUUCACAUUUGUUGUCAUAAUUCUUCCAUUUGAAUAUCAUCAUCGAUGCACAAUAUUAUUUGGAAUUCAUUACAUUCACGUACAUUAUAUUUAAAAGCGGCCCUUGCUUACAUUCGAGAUAUCGGAGAGCGAGGUCGGCCCAUGUAUUUAAUGGUAAGAUUUAAUAAU